rnacentral:rRNA from 1 species
AGAGUUUGAUCAUGGCUCAGGAUGAACGCUAGCUACAGGCUUAACACAUGCAAGUCGAGGGGCAGCAUGGUCUUAGCUUGCUAAGACUGAUGGCGACCGGCGCACGGGUGAGUAACGCGUAUCCAACCUUCCCCUUAGUAGGGCAUAGCCCGUAGAAAUGCGGAUUAAUACCCUAUGUUGUAUAUUGAGGACAUCUGAUUUAUACCAAAGGUUCACCGCUAAGGGAUGGGGAUGCGUCUGAUUAGGUAGUCGGCGGGGUAACGGCCCACCGAGCCUACGAUCAGUAGGGGUUCUGAGAGGAAGGUCCCCCACAUUGGAACUGAGCCAGGAUCAAACUC